GACGAACGCUGGCGGCGUGCUUAACACAUGCAAGUCGAACGAGUGGCGAACGGGUGAGUGACACGUGUGUGACCUUCCCUGCACUUCGGGGUAAGCCUGGGAAACUGGGACUAAUACCGGAUAGUGUGGUCUGGGCCCGCGGCCUAUGAGCUUGUUGGUGGGGUAAUGGCUACCAAGGCGCGACGGGUAGCCGGCCUGGGAGGGUGGACGGCCACAUUGGGACUGAGACACGGCCCAGACUCCUACGGGAGGCAGCAGUGGGGAAUAUUGCACAAUGGGCGGAAGCCUGAUGCAGCCAUGCCGCGUGUAUGAAGAAGGCCUUCGGGUUGUAAAGUACUUUCAGCGGGGAGGCGUUACCCGCAGAAGAAGCACCGGCUAACUCCGUGCCAGCCGCCGCGGUAAUAC
rnacentral:rRNA from 1 species